GGAGCAAUGGCCUAUUGGUAAGGCACCAGACGCCUUGUCAUGUUGAAGCAAUAAAACAAAUAUGGUCUGGGGAAGUAGGUUCGAGCCCUACUCGUGUCA